AGCAGUUGGGCUCUGGCACUCUCUCUCUCUCUCUCAGGAACGUUGGCAGUUGAAGAGAAUUUCAGGAAUGAAUCAUAAUCUGACUCACAUAAACGACCUCAAAAAUUCGACCUUAUUCGACCAGUAAAACUACUGUUUCCUCACAGACAGUAAUUAAGACAAUUAUGACCCGGUCAUUUGUGAGGGGAGAAAAACUGAAUAAAACAAAUCUCUCUUUAGCUUCUGCUGCUAACGCUUUUGAAGAUGCAGAUGCGUGAUUGGGGCGUGGCCUCAUUACCUCAGACUAACGGUCGCAAUUCCUGCACUAAGGAUUGAUAUGUUUUAUAGGCUAUCAUUUUGUUCUAAACAAGAUAUUUAGCAUUUUAGUUCAUCUAAAUGUUAUAUAUCCGUGGAAAACACCUCGGCAGAUGUGUCUCAAAAAAACUUUCAACCGCUCCCUCACAACCACUGCAAACAUCUGCAUCUGCCUGCAACCUGCCGGGUUUCUCGUGCAGAAUGACAACUACAAGCGGACGCACGAGCAGCACUCACCUGCUUUCAUAACACAUUACUAGGCUAUAAAAAAAAAUACAUAUUUAAAAUAUAUAUAUAUAUAUAUGCGCUUACAUUCUUUUAUCAGUCGGAACGAGUUGCCGGUGCAGAGCGAGUGAGAACCCGAACAAGCUGUUCGGCUCCCCGCUCUUCCUGAUCACAUUCUCCGUGUCCAGGUUGAAGGCGGAAAUGAACCCGCAUUCCAUUAAACAGAGGAGAGACAAGGUAAGCGUCCGGUAACGCGCCAUGUUAAUGCGGGGAGAAAUCUGAACAGUGUGCUGUGGUCUGG